UACAGAGGGGGCAAGCGUUAUUCGGAAUUAUUGGGCGUAAAGGGCGCGUAGGCGGCCAUUCAAGUGACGGGUGAAAGCCCUCGGCUUAACCGAGGAACUGCCUGUCAGACUGGAUGGCUUGAGACCGGGAGAGGUGAGUGGAAUUCCCAGUGUAGCGGUGAAAUGCGUAGAUAUUGGGAGGAACACCAGUGGCGAAGGCGGCUCACUGGACCGGAACUGACGCUGAGGCGCGAAAGCGUGGGGAGCGAUCCGG
rnacentral:rRNA from 1 species